ACACACACACACACACACACACACACACACACACACACAGAGUAUUUCACCAAAACCUCUGAACCAGGAGUCAUAAUUUCGGUUCAUGUUAUAAUUACUACUUAAACUUUAAAGAAAUUCUUACAGCACUCAAUUUUCUCACCUGUAAAAUCAGAGACCUUAGAUGACUGUUAAAGAUAAAUUUUGCUUCCGGAACAAACCAGCAAUCCAGUACCAUAUUAAAGAGAAAUCCAUUGUACUGCAUGCCUGAGAGUUAAGACUCUAUUAGAAACUUCCUUUCUUUUUGCAAUUAUUGCUCCCAAUUUGCCUCUGCUUUAUUUCACAGUACUCUUGGACCCUAGCUCACAUAAGUAUCUACCAGCUCUACACUGAUUUUCUAAAAUGCUCCCACCUUCCAAUUUCCGCCCAGCUAUAUAAUACAACAGAUUGCUGGGAUAGAAUUUUAGGCUUAAACUACAUUACAAUGAAAGACUGACCAGGCACCAGUAGUUCACGUUUGUAAUCCUAGAGACUCAAAAGGCUGACACCUGGAGGAAUGUAGUUUGAAGCCAACCCAAGCAAAAAGGCCAAUUAACAUCUCCACCCAUUACAUGUUCAGUUAACCAGCAAACUGACUGGGGUGUUGCUCAAAUUGUAGAGCACCAGCCAUGAAAGAAAAAAAAUAAACUUGUAAGGCCCCAAGUUCAAAGAAAAAUUUUUAAAGACUGGGCUAUUGGGUAUUGAAUAGAUAAAGAGGAAAAUCUAAGUCUCAUGGAUACCAAGAAGACCCAGAAAUGUAAGUUGCAAAAAGCCAGGGCUGGGCUGGGAAUAUGGCCUAGUGGCAAGAGUGCUUGCC